rnacentral:rRNA from 1 species
AUUGAACGCUGGCGGCAUGCCUUACACAUGCAAGUCGAACGGCAGCACGGGAGCAAUCCUGGUGGCGAGUGGCGAACGGGUGAGUAAUAUAUCGGAACGUGCCCAGUCGUGGGGGAUAACGUAGCGAAAGCUACGCUAAUACCGCAUACGAUCUAUGGAUGAAAGCGGGGGAUCGCAAGACCUCGCGCGAUUGGAGCGGCCGAUAUCAGAUUAGGUAGUUGGUGGGGUAAAAGCCUACCAAGCCUUCGAUCUGUAGCUGGUCUGAGAGGACGACCAGCCACGCUGGAACUGAGACACGGUCCAGACUCCUACGGGAGGCAGCAGUGGGGAAUUUUGGACAAUGGGCGCAAGCCUGAUCCAGCAAUGCCGCGUGCAGGAUGAAGGCCUUCGGGUUGUAAACUGCUUUUGUACGGAACGAAACGGUUCUCUCUAAUACAGGGGGCUAAUGACGGUACCGUAAGAAUAAGCACCGGCUAACUACGUG